UUGGAUGUUCUGUGUUGGUUGUAGGCGAGUGACAUUUUUGUUGAAAGUCUUUUGUAGCCACUACUUCUGAGGGAGGAAGGGGUUAGGCAUCUUGGCAGUGCUUAGGCAAAAGGCCUGUGGACAUGUAUAACCUGUAGUAUUUACUGUCUAUACAUAGUAGGUAAGACUUGGGCAGACCACCCCCUGUAUUUUGGUUAGCGUGCCAGGAGGUGCUAAAAGGUUAGCACAGAUCAUCCAGGUCCACGACUUUCAUCAUCCCCAUUCAUGUCGACCAGUCUAGCACAGCUGUUGCUAAAACCACCAACCACAAUUUAGAACGAUGGUCCUCCUGACCUCUCCAGUUCUGUUACUGGCAAGACGAAGAGGCAUUCAGUGUUGUUUUCUAUCAGAAAGGAUACCGGUCAGGUUUAUUCGA